UUAGAGUUUGAUCCUGGCUCAGAACGAACGCUGGCGGCAGGCUUAACACAUGCAAGUCGAACGCCCCUUUCGGGGGGAGUGGCAGACGGGUGAGUAACACGUGGGAACGUACCUCUUUGUUCGGAAUAACUCAUGGAAACGUGAGCUAAUACCGGAUACGCCCUUUUGGGGAAAGAUUUAUCGCAGAGAGAUCGGCCCGCGUCUGAUUAGCUAGUUGGUGAGGUAAUGGCUCACCAAGGCGACGAUCAGUAGCUGGUCUGAGAGGAUGAUCAGCCACACUGGGACUGAGACACGGCCCAGACUCCUACGGGAGGCAGCAGUGGGGAAUAUUGGACAAUGGGGGCAACCCUGAUCCAGCCAUGCCGCGUGAGUGAUGAAGGCCUUAGGGUUGUAAAGCUCUUUUAUCCGGGAAGAUAAUGACUGUACCGGAAGAAUAAGCCCCGGCUAACUUCGUGCCAGCAGCCGCGGUAAUACGAAGGGGGCUAGCGUUGUUCGGAAUCACUGGGCGUAAAGGGCGCGUAGGCGGACGAUUAAGUCAGGGGUGAAAUCCCGGGGCUCAACCUCGGAAUUGCCCUUGAUACUGGUUGUCUUGAGAUUGGAAGAGGUAAGUGGAAUUGCGAGUGUAGAGGUGAAAUUCGUAGAUAUUCGCAAGAACACCGGUGGCGAAGGCGACUUACUGGUCCAUAUCUGACGCUGAGGCGCGAAAGCGUGGGGAGCAAACAGGAUUAGAUACCCUGGUAGUCCACGCCGUAAACGAUGGAUGCCCAGCUGUUUGGGGGAGCAUGCUCUUCAGUGGCGC
rnacentral:rRNA from 1 species